UAACAUCCGGAAACGGGUGCUAAUACCGCAUAGUUUUCUUGAUCGCAUGAUCGGGAAAGGAAAGACGGCCUUUGUGCUGUCGCUUAUGGAUGGACCCGCGGCGUAUUAGUUAGUUGGUGAGGUAACGGCUCACCAAGACGAUGAUACGUAGCCGACCUGAGAGGGUGAUCGGCCACAUUGGGACUGAGACACGGCCCAAACUCCUACGGGAGGCAGCAGUAGGGAAUCUUCCGCAAUGGACGAAAGUCUGACGGAGCAACGCCGCGUGAGUGAAGAAAAGGUUUUUCGGAUCGUAAAACUCUGUUGUCAGAGAAGAACAAGUUGGAGAGUAACUGCUCCAGCCUUGACGGUAUCUGACCAGAAAGCCACGGCUAACUACGUGCCAGCCGCCGC
rnacentral:rRNA from 1 species